rnacentral:rRNA from 1 species
AGCCCUUCGGGGGCAGGAUGACANGGUGGUGCAUGGUUGUCGUCAGCUCGUGUCGUGAGGAUGUUGGGUUAAGUUCCCGCAACGAGCGCAACCCUUAUCACUAGUUGCUACCAUUUAGUUGAGCACUCUAAUGAGACUGCCCGGGUUAACCGGGAGGAAGGUGGGGAUGACGUCAAAUCAUCAUGCCCCUUAUGUCUAGGGCUACACACGUGCUACAAUGGGCAGUACAGUGAGAUGCAAACCCGCGAGGGUGAGCCAAACUAUAAAACUGUUCCCAGUUCGGAUUGUAGGCUGCAACUCGCCUACAUGAAGCCGGAGUUGCUAGUAAUCGCGAAUCAGCAUGUCGCGGUGAAUACGUUCCCGGGUCUUGUACACACCGCCCGUCACACCAUGAGAGUUAGCAAUACCCGAAGUCCGUGAGGUAACCGUAAGGAGCCAGCGGCCGAAGGUAGGGUUAGCGAUUGAGGUGAAGUCGUAACAAGGUAGCCGUAGGAGAACCUGCGGCUGGAUCACCUCCUU